rnacentral:pre_miRNA from 1 species
GGUAUGGGGGGAUUGGGAAGGAAUAUCCAUAAGCAAAAUAUGCUAUUUCUUCCCUACACCUCCCAUACC